rnacentral:rRNA from 1 species
UACGGGGGGGGCAAGCGUUGUUCGGAAUUACUGGGCGUAAAGGGCUCGUAGGCGGCCAACUAAGUCAGACGUGAAAUCCCCAGGCUCAACCUGGGAACUGCGUCUGAUACUGGAUGGCUUGAAUUCGGGAGAGGGAUGCAGAAUUCCUGGUGUAGCGGUGAAAUGCGCAGAUAUCAGGAGGAACACCGGUGGCGAAGGCGGGUCUCUGGGCCGAUACUGACGCUGAGGAGCGAAAGCGUGGGGAGCGAACAGG